GAGUUUGAUCCUGGCUCAGGACGAACGCUGGCGGCGUGCCUAACACAUGCAAGUGGAGCGACGAACCAGGGCUUGCCCUGGGGCAAAGCCGCGAACGGGUGAGUAACACGUGGGUAACCUGCCCCGAUGACCGGGACAACCCGAGGAAACUCGGGCUAAUACCGGAUGUGCUCUUCACACAUCAGUGUGAUGAGUAAAGGAAGCUUCGGCCUCCGCUUCGGGAGGGGCCCGCGGCCCAUUAGCUAGUUGGUGAGGUAACGGCUCACCAAGGCAACGAUGGGUAGCUGGUCUGAGAGGACGAUCAGCCACACUGGGACUGAGACACGGCCCAGACUCCUACGGGAGGCAGCAGUGGGGAAUCUUGCGCAAUGCGCGAAAGCGUGACGCAGCAACGCCGCGUGGGGGAAGAAGGCCUUCGGGUUGUAAACCCCUUUCAGGAGGGACGAAGGUGCGGCGGCGAAUAGCCGUCCGUACUGACGGUACCUCCAGAAGAAGCCCCGGCUAACUACGUGCCAGCAGCCGCGGUAAUACGUAGGGGGCAAGCGUUGUCCGGAAUCAUUGGGCGUAAAGAGCGCGUAGGCGGCCCGAUAAGUCCGCUGUAAAAGUCCAGGGCUCAACCCUGGAAAGCCGGUGGAUACUGUCGGGCUAGAGUCCGGAAGAGGCGAGUGGAAUUCCUGGUGUAGCGGUGGAAUGCGCAGAUAUCAGGAGGAACACCAAUGGCGAAGGCAGCUCGCUGGGACGGUACUGACGCUAAGGCGCGAAAGCGUGGGGAGCGAACAGGAUUAGAUACCCUGGUAGUCCACGCUGUAAACGAUGGGCACUAGGUGUGGGAGGUGUCGACUCCUCCCGUGCCGUCGCUAACGCAUUAAGUGCCCCGCCUGGGGAGUACGGCCGCAAGGCUAAAACUCAAAGGAAUUGACGG
rnacentral:rRNA from 1 species